rnacentral:rRNA from 1 species
GACGAACCGUGCGAACGUUGUUUGGAAUCACUGGGCUUAAAGGGCGCGUAGGCGGGUUUGCAAGUCUGUGGUGAAAGCCUCCAGCUUAACUGGAGAAGUGCCAUGGAUACUGCGCAUCUUGAGGAGGGUAGGGGCGUCUGGAACGGUCGGUGGAGCGGUGAAAUGCGUUGAUAUCGACCGGAACUCCGGUGGCGAAGGCGAGGCGCUGGACCCUUUCUGACGCUGAGGCGCGAAAGCCAGGGGAGCAAACGGG